CGGUAAUUCCAGCUCCAAUAGCGUAUACUAAAGUUGUUGCAGUUAAAAAGCUCGUAGUUGGAUUUCUGCGCGGGUGGGGCGUCCGCCGGCCUCAGGUCGGGUUGGGCAGCAACGCCCACGCAUCCUGCUGCGAUCCGCGCUACCAUUCGUUUGGUGGCGUCGGGGACCAGCUCGAUUACUUUGAGAAAAUUUGAGUGUUCAAAGCAGGCAAUUGCCUUGAAAAUUCUAGCAUGGGCUAAUGGUUAAGGACUUUGGUUCUAUUUCAUUGGCUUUCGGAACCGAAGUAAUGAUUGAUAGGGACAGUUGGGGGCGUCUGUAUUCUGAAGCGAGAGGUGAAAUUCUUAGACCUUCGGAAGACAAACAGCUGCGAAAGCGUUCGCCAAGGAUGUACCCUUUGAUCAAGAACGAAAGUUGGGGGAUCGAAGACGAUCAGAUACCGUCGUAGUCUCAACUAUAAACUAUACCAGCUAGGGAUCGGCCAACGUUGAUCUACAAAGACUUGGUCGGCACCUUAUGAGAAAUCAAUAGCAUUUGGGUUCCGGGGGGAGUAUGGUCGCAAGGCUGAAACUUAAAGGAAUUGACGGAAGGGCACCACCAGGCGUGGAGCCUGUGGCUUAAUUUGACUCAACACGGGGAAACUUACCAGGUCCAGACAUAGGAAGGAUUGACAGAUUGACAGCUCUUUCUUGAUUCUAUGGGUGGUGGUGCAUGGCCGUUCUUAGUUGGUGGAGUGAUUUGUCUGGUUAAUUCCGUUAACGAACGAGACCCCAGCCUGCUAAAUAGCGCGCGUGGCUCCUGGCCGCGGCGAGCUUCUUAGAGGGACUACGGUUCGCCAUAGACCGGGGAAGUUUGGGGCAAUAACAGGUCUGUGAUGCCCUUAGAUGUUCUGGGCCGCACACGGGCUACACUGACGCGUGCAACGAGCAUAUCAGCUGGCCCGAGAGGGCAUAGGCUAAUCUUUUGAACUCGCGUCGUGCUAGGGAUUGACCAUUGCAAUUGUUGGUCAUGCAACGAGGAAUGCCUUGUAAACGCGAGUCAUCAACUCGCAUUGAAUACGUCCCUGCCCCUUGUACACACCGCCC
rnacentral:rRNA from 1 species